AAAAGACUUAGUCCUAACCUUACCGUUAAUUCUUGCUAGACAUAUACAUGCAAGUAUCCGCGACCCAGUGUAAAUGCCCUUACAACCCUUACUAAGGGAAAAGGAGCAGGUAUCAGGCACACCCGCAACUGUAGCCCAAGACAUCUUGCUCAGCCACACCCCCACGGGUAUUCAGCAGUAAUUAACAUUAAGCAAUAAGUGUAAACUUGACUUAGUUAUAGCAAUUCUAGGGUUGGUAAAUCUUGUGCCAGCCACCGCGGUCACACAAGAGACCCAAAUUAACAGUAUGCGGCGUAAAGAGUGGUACUACGAUAUCAAAGCAACUAGGGUUGAAAUGCAACUAAGCCGUCAUAAGCCUAAGAUGCACCUAAGAUCUCCUUUAAGAUGACCCUAGCACCUUCGAUCAAUUUAACUCCACGAAAGCUAGGACACAAACUGGGAUUAGAUACCCCACUAUGCCUAGCCCUAAAUCUUGAUGUUUAUUAUACCAAAACAUCCGCCCGAGAACUACGAGCACAAACGCUUAAAACUCUAAGGACUUGGCGGUGCCCUAAAUCCACCUAGAGGAGCCUGUUCUAUAAUCGAUAACCCACGAUACACCCGACCACCCCUCGCCAAAGCAGCCUAUAUACCGCCGUCGCCAGCUCACCUUCCCUGAGAGCACAGUAGUGAGCACAAUAGCCUAAACCCGCUAGCAAGACAGGUCGAGGUAUAGCUUAUGGGGCGGAAGAAAUGGGCUACAUUUUCUACAAUAGAAAACCUACGGAAGGGGACAUGAAAUUACCCCCGGAAGGCGGAUUUAGCAGUAAAGGGGGACAAUAGAGCCCCCUUUAAGUUGGCCCUAGGGCACGUACAUACCGCCCGUCACCCUCCUCACAAGCCACAAGCUUCCAUAACUAAUAUGCCUAAUGGCUGAAGAUGAGGUAAGUCGUAACAAGGUAAGUGUACCGGAAGGUGUACUUAGCAUAUC
rnacentral:ncRNA from 1 species